rnacentral:rRNA from 1 species
UCCGUAGGGGUGACCUGCGGAGGGAUCAUUA